rnacentral:rRNA from 1 species
UAAAAUAAUUAAGGGCACACAAAGGAUGCCUAGGUAGUAAGAGCCGAUGAAGGACGUGGUAAGCUGCGAUAAGCCUAGAUAAGUUGCAAUCGAACGUAAGAGUCUAGGAUUUCCGAAUGGAGCAAUCUAUUAAGAUGGAGUCUUAAUACGAAAGAGGGAACCGCGUGAACUGAAACAUCUAAGUAACGCGAGGAAAAGAAAGUAAAAACGAUACCCAAAGUAGCGGCGAGCGAAAUGGGUCAAGCCUAAACCUUAAAUAUGUCAAGGAUACAGCCGUUGUAUUUAAGGGGUUGAGGGACAGAGUAGUGAAGAACUGUAAGAUAUUCAAUAUAGUGUAUUGAUGAAUUGGAAUUGUCUGGAAAGGCGAACCGUAGAAGGUGAAAGUCCUGUACAAGUAAAUCCUUACACAUAUAACUCUGCUCCCAAGUAACAUGGAACACGAGGAAUUCUGUGUGAAUCUGUGAGGACCAUAUCUCAUAAGGCUAAAUACUCUUACUAACCGAUAGCGCAUAGUACCGUGAGGGAAAGGUGAAAAGAACCCCUGGAGGGGAGUGAAAUAGAACCUGAAAUUGUGUGCUUACAAGCGGUCAGAGCCAGUAAUGGUGAUGGCGUGCCUUUUGGAGAAUGAUCCUGCGAGUUACGUUAAACGGCGAGGUUAAGUAUAACGGAGCCGAAGGGAAACCAAGUCUUAAUAGGGCGAUUUAGUCGUUUGGCGUAGACGCGAAACCUGGUGAUCUAAACCUGUCCAGGAUGAAGCUGUGGUAAGACACAGUGGAGGUCCUAACCCACCGCCGUUGAAAAGUUGGGGGAUGAGGUAGGUUUAGGGGUGAAAAGCCAAUCGAACCAGGAGAUAGCUCGUUCUCUCCGAAAUGUAUCUAGGUACAGCCUUGAGUGUUCAAUUAUGGGGGUAGAGCACUGAAUGAUCUAGGGGGCGUAUUGCUUACUGAAAUCAAUCAAACUCCGAAUACCAUAAUUUAUAGCUCAGGAGUGAGACUAUGGGAGUUAACUUCCAUUGUCGAAAGGGAAACAACCCAGACCACCAGCUAAGGUCCCUAAUUAUAACUAAGUGGGAAAGGAGGUGGAGAUUCACAAACAACUAGGAGGUUGGCUUAGAAGCAGCCAUACCUUUAAAGAGUGCGUAAUAGCUCACUAGUCGAGAGUCUCUGCGCCGACAAUGUAACGGGGCUAAGUUAUAAACCGAAGCUGUGGAAUCCGUAAGGAUUGGUAGGAGAGCGUUCUGUAGGCCGUUGAAGGAGAAGGGUAACCGACUCUGGAGGUAUCAGAAGUGAGAAUGCAGGAAUAAGUAGCGAGAAAGGGGGCGAGAAUCCCCCUCGCCGGAAGACCAAGGUUUUCAGGGUAAAGCUUGUCUUCCCUGAGUAAGCCGGGACCUAAGCCCAGGCUAUAAUGCGUAGGCGAAUGGAAAACAGAUUAAUAUUUCUGUGCCAGUCAUAUAUUGUGAUGGAGGGACGCAGAAGGGUAUGCGCGCGGACGAACGGAAGUGUCCGUAGAAGUAUGUAGGAUGACUUGAUAGGAAAAUCCAUUGAGUUAUAUCUGAGGUAUGAUAUACAGUCGUAAGAUGAAUGCGCAAAUCCCACGCUGCCAAGAAAAGCUUCUAACGUUAAUAUUUGACUGCCCGUACUGCAAACCGACACAGGUGGUCAGGAUGAGAAAUCUAAGGCGGACAGGCUAACUCUCGUUAAGGAACUCUGCAAAAUAACCUCGUAACUUCGGGAGAAGAGGAGCCCUUGAGGGUCAGUAUCCACGCGAUACAAAGCGCUCGAGGGUCGCAGUGAAGAGGCUCAAGCAACUGUUUAACAAAAACACAGGUCUAUGCUAAGCUGGAAGGCGAUGUAUAUGGGCUGACACCUGCCCAGUGCUGGAAGGUUAAGAGGAGGAGUGAGAGCUCCGAAUUGAAGCCCCAGUGAACGGCGGCCGUAACUAUAACGGUCCUAAGGUAGCGAAAUUCCUUGUCGGGUAA